rnacentral:rRNA from 1 species
ACGGAGGGAGCUAGCGUUGUUCGGAAUUACUGGGCGUAAAGCGCACGUAGGCGGCUUUGUAAGUCAGAGGUGAAAGCCUGGAGCUCAACUCCAGAACUGCCUUUGAGACUGCAUCGCUUGAAUCCAGGAGAGGUGAGUGGAAUUCCGAGUGUAGAGGUGCAAUUGAUUGAUAUUCGUGCGAAGGCGCGUGGCGAUGGCGACCAACUGGACUUAUAUUGACCUUGAGCUGCGUAAGCGUCUCUAGCAAACAG